rnacentral:rRNA from 1 species
GAGUUUGAUCCUGGUUCAGGACGAACGCUGGCGGCGUGCUUAACACAUGCAAGUUGAACGGGAUCCACCAUAUGAAGUUUUCGGACGGAAUGAGGUGGUGAGAGUAGCGGACGGGCGAGUAACGCGUGAGCAACCUACCCUUUGCAGGGGGAUAACAUCGGGAAACCGGUGCUAAUACCGCAUAAGACUACAGAGUCGCAUGGCUCAGUGGUCAAAACUCCGGUGGCAAAGGAUGGGCUCGCGUCCAAUUAGCUAGUUGGUAGGGUAAAGGCCUACCAAGGCGACGAUUGGUAGCCGAAUUGAGAGGUUGAUCGGCCGCAUUGGGACUGAGACACGGCCCAGACUCCUACGGGAGGCAGCAGUGGGGAAUAUUGCGCAAUGGAGGGAACUCUGACGCAGCAACGCCGCGUGAAGGAAGAAGGCUUUCGGGUUGUAAACUUCUUUA